rnacentral:lncRNA from 1 species
UGUUGGUGCAUAUGUCUGUCACUAAUGCUUGGGAGAAGCUCCAAGCAUUUUUUUUUUUAAACUCAGGAACUAUAGAGCCUUAGGGCCUAGACCAAGAGACCUAGCAAUUUAUAUUUGUUCUAAGAGCAAAAGGCAGUGCAUUAGAUUGUCUCCUCAUUUUUGUAGCCUGCCUCAUUGGCAUCUGUGGAGUAUGUGAAUCAAAUAUUCAUACAGAUGGUGCCCGUGACAGCCCUUCAUGUAACAUGCUGUAGGGAGUUGUCUCAGGGGAGACAUACACUCUAUAGGCUGUGGCUACAGAUCCCUGUCACUUUUUUAGACUACAGUGUGCAGCGUGAAGAAGCAGCCUGAUUUCUCUACCUCGGGCCAAUGGCAGGUGGUCACUGAGUGUGAAGGGAAACAGCAGGUAGACGUCUUCGAUGGAGUCCUGGUGUGCACGGGUCAUCACACGGAUGCUCACCUGCCCCUGGAAAGCUUUCCUGGUGAGUAACCCAUCCUGAGAGAAGAUGUUGCAGCCAUGGCUAUGAUAUGACCUCUGAGGACUGGGAGGGGUGUGGUCUUAGUGACUCUUACUGUGGGGUUUAAAAAUAAAGUCUUACUCUAGUUAAAUACAUCCCCCUGUAUUUUGUAACUUGUACUACUGCCAUUUUGAAAGUGGAAAGAAUUACAGUUUGGAAGGCUAGAGGAAGAUUAGAGGUCAGUCUAUCGUCAUGAGCCACAAAUGUCAUCUUUGUCAAGGAAUGACUGCAUACACAAUGUUAACCCCAUAUCACUGUAUCAGAGCUGAAUGUGUCCCGUUGUCUAGUAAGGGCUUAGCUACUGUGAUACUGAAGUAGGAGACACUGUUUCUGGUGAGACUGGUCUACCAAUCUACUGCACUGUCAAGUUAUUUAAAAUUAUAACAUGUAUACCUGUUAAAUACAUAAUACUGGGCAGUAAGCAACUUAAUGGUUAUACGUUUACAGUACUAUAUUUUGCACAACCCUAUGUAUUUGAAAUUUGUGCUAUACAAUCAUAGACCAUAUUAUACCAACAGUAGCCUCACAUACGCAUGUGUACUGUGUCUUUUGACUGACCUGUGCCAUCGAGGCAUGUAUGUAUCUGUCCAAUGAUGAAAUCCAUCUUUAACCUGCUUCUCAGAAUGACAGAACCCCUGUCCAAUAGCACAGGACUGUACUUAAAUUCAUGGUGAUUGUGUUUUCCCAAGAACCAAAGAGAAGCUGGAGUCUCUGAUUUGUACUAAUUGGAAUUAGAGAUUUUUUUUCUUCAAUUGAAGAAAACUAUGGAAAUAUUGAAUUUCUAAGAAUGAAGCAAAAGCUUAAAGCAUUUCAUUUCAUGUUUCUGGCCUGAACUUUUCCCUUUAAAAAUACAUUCUACAUAUGCCCAAUGUGCACGUACAAGGGUGGGGGGUGAACAGAUGAAGGAGAAGGGAGGGUUUCUGCGGCCUCAGGACUUGCAUCUGCAAAUCAAAAUGCAGAUGAUUUAUAGCAGGGAAAUCACAAAGGCAACGAGAGAAGAAAGAAGCAAAAUUGUUCAGAAAGGCAAGAAGAGUUGCUUAAUAAAGGAGAAUUUGGAAAUACACGUUUAAACUUUAAAAUUCACAAAAGAGAACACAACACGUGCUUUGACAAAUAAUAUCCUUCAUUCAAACAGGCCUCUCCCCCCUCUCCCAAUAAUUAAUUUUUUCUUCUCUUCUAGGAAUUGAAAAGUUCAAAGGAAAGUACUUUCACAGCCGAGACUAUAAGAACCCAGUGGAAUUCACCGGGAAGAGGGUCAUUGUAAUUGGCAUUGGGAAUUCUGGAGGGGAUCUGGCUGUAGAGAUUAGCCACACAGCCAAGCAGGUUUGCAUUGAUGAUUGGUUUACUUUACUUCACUCUUACCAAGGAAGUAGGCCCACCAACAAAUAUCGAGACCACCCAUGCCCCACCCACUCCAGCAGCAAACACAUGGGGCUUGUUUGCUGCCCAAGUUUCAGCAAGCCUGGGUGCUGAGUGCUAAACUUGGGUCUUCCGUGACAGCAGCAGGUAUUCUUAAACACUGAGUCAUCUCUCCAGCCCAGCAUAAUUUUGUGAAGAGAAAUUUUUUUGUGUGUUUAUGUAAUUAUUUCCUAAUAAGUGUAGAAUUAACUCAUGGGCUAAAGUAGGAAAUCACCUCCAUGAUUAGGCACAGAAACAGUACUGAGAAGCGGUGUUAUGGGGCAGAGUUGCUAAGCAAAAAUCAUUUAACCAAACCGUAGCAUUAAGGAUUUUUCUUAAAGUAUUUGAAGCUUAUUUGUAGAGAAACGUCGUCAUCACAUUUACUGAGUCGGCAUUUCCCUGUUGCCAAUAAAGUAGUGACUCGAUGAUGAGACAGGACUAUAUUGAUGAAAUUAUUUCCUUACGUAGCCCUUUAAAAAUAAGAUUUAUAACUCUGUUGCUUAUUGUAGAAAGGUAGAGAUGGGAAACUGAAGUUAAAGCUUAACUUCCUGUCUAUCACUGUUUACAAAAACACCGUUUCUCACAGUGACCUUGGGAUAUAUGUUGUUGCUGUCACAGCUGAGUCAAUGGGGAACUUCUCAAUUCCACCUCUGAGCACUGACCUGACUUGUCCUAAGGUGUGCAGCUUGUACACAGAACCAUCCGGUCCCUAGGAGCCGUGUGCUUUCAUGUGUGACGUGCAGAAGCAUUUGGUGCACAAGCCCUUGGGUUACCACCGGUGAAAAUGUUCAUGGGGAAGAAAGGAUCCUCCCUCUGCAGACAGGCAGCCCGUUGCUUGGGAGCCCACACCAAAGACCUUGAUGGAGCAUACAUUUCCUACAGCUCUAGAAACCACUGCAGACCAGAAAUAAUGAUCUUGCUGGUAAUUGAACACAGCUUGUAGUCAGUUUUGAACAUGGACUUUGGCCAGUGGGCAACACAGGAAGGCUGUCUCCUAUAAUUCCACUAGCAGCCUUCAGUCAGGGAAAUAGUUCUUAGACAUGGCAGGAAGGUCACCUUUGCUGCGUUCUAGCUAUAUGAUAUCAGGAUGUGUGGUCUGCCCUCUCUGUGCCUCUCAUCCAUAAGUGGGGAUGGCAGUGCCUUCCUUAAGAGCACUGUCGAUUAAAUUAAAAUGUGAAGGGCCGGUCACACAGCUUACUUAUAGGUCACAAAUAUUAGUAAGGAGUGCUACCAACAUGCUGGGAGAUUGUGCACAGGCUAUAGCUCUGCAGAAACACACUCAGAGGUCAAGAGUUAUAAAUAAGUGAGAUCGAAAGUUAUGAUAGUUCUAAUGGGGUUAUUGGUAGGAGUGGUAUAAUAUAAACUAUAUGAAUGAUAAACAAGGGUUUGUAACACCACAAGAAAUGUCAGCAGCAAAAAUGACUGAGGGUUUUGGAUGAAAUGAUAUGCAGUUACUCUCAGCUUUACUGUUUUGUAGUUGUUUUGUUUUGUUUUGUUUUCUCUCACUGCUUUACAGUUGUCUGUUCUGUGCGGGGUAGGAGUGGCACACAUGGAGCAAUGCAUGUGUGGGGGGCAGAGGACAUCCCAUAGGAUCUGGUUCUCUCCUUCCACCAUGUAGGUCUCAGGGUGGAACUUAGGUUGCUGGGCUUGGCCACAGGUGCUUUAUGCACCGAGCCUGUCUCUAGCCCCGCCUCUAUACUUCCUAAUGAGUUCCAUAGGUGGCAAGUGCUAGGAAAAGUUCAGGAGAUGGAGAGAAGUGGUCGCCUGGAGAGGUCAGUGGUGUCCUUGUGGAGGGAGCAGAUUUGAUCUGAGGCCUCCAAACAUAUAGAUGUAGGAGGGUCCAUAACAGUAGUUUUCUACCUGUGGGUCAAGACCCUCUUUGGUGUCAAAUGACCCUUUCACAGGGGUCAUUCUAAGACCAUC